AAAUGAUUCUUAUCUCUUUUGGAGAGAUGGCCGAGAGGAU
rnacentral:tRNA from 4 species